rnacentral:rRNA from 1 species
UACGAAGGGGGCUAGCGUUGCUCGGAAUUACUGGGCUUAAAGGGUGCGUAGGCGGCGCGGAAAGUUGGGUGUGAAAUCCCUCGGCUCAACCGGGGAAUGGCGCCCAAAACUACCGUGCUCGAGGAAGACAGAGGUGAGCGGAACUCAGGGUGGAGCGGUGAAAUGCGUUGAUAUCCUGAGGAACACCGGUGGCGAAAGCGGCUCACUGGGUCUUAUCUGACGCUGAGGCACGAAAGCUAGGGUAGCGAACGGG